UACGUAGGGUGCGAGCGUUGCCCGGAUUUAUUGGGCGUAAAGGGCGCGUAGGCGGCCCUGCAAGUCGGAUGUGAAAUCCCACGGCUCAACCGUGGAAGUGCAUUCGAAACUGCAGGGCUAGAGUCCUGGAGAGGAAGGUGGAAUGCUUGGUGUAGAGGUGAAAUUCGUAGAUAUCAAGCGGAACACCGGUGGCGAAGGCGGCCUUCUGGACAGUGACUGACGCUGAGACGCGAAAGCGUGGGGAGCAAACAGG
rnacentral:rRNA from 1 species